rnacentral:rRNA from 1 species
GUUUGAUCCUGGCUCAGGACGAACGCUGGCGGCGUGCCUAACACAUGCAAGUCGAGCGAGUUGAUUCUCUUCGGAGAUGAAGCUAGCGGCGGACGGGUGAGUAACACGUGGGCAACCUGCCUCAUAGAGGGGAAUAGCCUCCCGAAAGGGAGAUUAAUACCGCAUAAGAUUGUAGCUUCGCAUGAAGUAGCAAUUAAAGGAGCAAUCCGCUAUGAGAUGGGCCCGCGGCGCAUUAGCUAGUUGGUGAGGUAACGGCUCACCAAGGCGACGAUGCGUAGCCGACCUGAGAGGGUGAUCGGCCACAUUGGGACUGAGACACGGCCCAGACUCCUACGGGAGGCAGCAGUGAGGGAUAUUGGGCAAUGGGGGAAACCCUGACCCAGCAACGCCGCGUGAGGGAUGACGGUUUUCGGAUUGUAAACCUCUGUCCUCUGUGAAGAUAGUGACGGUAGCAGAGGAGGAAGCUCCGGCUAACUACGUGCCAGCAGCCGCGGUAAUACGUAGGGAGCAAGCGUUGUCCGGAUUUACUGGGUGUAAAGGGUGCGUAGGCGGCUUUGCAAGUCAGAUGUGAAAUCUAUGGGCUCAACCCAUAAACUGCAUUUGAAACUGUAGAGCUUGAGUGAAGUAGAGGCAGGCGGAAUUCCCCGUGUAGCGGUGAAAUGCGUAGAGAUGGGGAGGAACACCAGUGGCGAAGGCGGCCUGCUGGGCUUUAACUGACGCUGAGGCACGAAAGCGUGGGUAGCAAACAGGAUUAGAUACCCUGGUAGUCCACGCUGUAAACGAUGAUUACUAGGU